rfam:Triticum aestivum genome assembly, contig: Triticum_aestivum_CS42_TGACv1_scaffold_221262_3B
GUUAUACUCCCUCCGUCCCAAAAUUCUUGUCUUAAAUUUGUCUACAUACGGAUGUAUCUACUAUUCACAUUUUACUGUUAGAUACAUCCGUAUCUAUAUAAAUCUAAGACAAGAAUUUUGGGACGGAGGGAGUAUUAA